UACUAGAGUAGCACUCGCAUAUCAAUAAGCGGAGGAAAAGAAACUAACAAGGAUUCCCCUAGUAACGGCGAGUGAAGCGGGAAGAGCUCAAAUUUGAAAUCUUAAAGGGUUUCCCUUUACGAAUUGUAGUUUAAAGAAGUGUUUUCUGUUGAGGUUUUGGUAAAAGUUCUUUGGAAUAGGACAUCAUAGAGGGUGAGAAUCCCGUAUUUGACCUUUACUUUCAACUUUGUGAUACACUUUCAAAGAGUCGGAUUGUUUGGGAAUGCAGUCCAAAAUGGGUGGUAAAUUUCAUCUAAAGCUAAAUAUUGGCGAGAGACCGAUAGCGAACAAGUACCGUGAGGGAAAGAUGAAAAGAACUUUGAAAGAGAGUUAAACAGUACGUGAAAUUGUCAAAAGGGAAGCGUUUGACACCAGUGUUGUUUUUCUGAAAAUCAGUUAAAGAACUGUUUAUGCUAAGCUGUUUAGACUUUAUCAGCUAUCUGUUUAGUUUUGAGCUUUUCUUUAAUGCACUUUUCAGUUAACAAGUCAACAUCAAUUUCUUUUGCUGUAAAAAAGCUUGAGGAAGGUGGCUUGAGAUUCGUCUUAAGUGUUUAUAGCCUCUUGCCUAUGCAGUCGGAGAGAUUGAGGUCUGCAGCGUAGAUCCUUCGGGGCUAAAUGCAUUUGUGCUAAGUUAUAGCAUUUUAUAGACAACUUGUUGACUAUGAUUUGUCUUGUAGCUUACUCGCUUAUGUUAUUUUACCUACGCUUAGGAUGUUGAACUACUGAGACAUAGA
rnacentral:rRNA from 1 species